AGUUCUCAAUACCGCCACAAGAUGGCGACUCUUCCACACCGGGUGCGUUUCCGCUGCGUGAGCGCCCCACCGAAGAAGAAAAAGGCCAACGGGCGUAAGCCAAUCGACCCACACUACUACAACAAACAGGGACAAAGAGUGAGGAACAAAUUGUGUGCUUGUCUACAUUCCAACAUCAAAAUGUUGAAAGAGUUGAUAAGGGAGCGCCUAAUUACAGCCGCCGACGAAAUUUUCGGACUGUUCGCACGAACGAUUUCGUCGUACGAAGAGCAACUUCGUCGGGCGAAAGAGGAGACCGAGCGCCACCGUCGACAACUGAAAGCCCUUUAUAACGCUCAAACUGUGCAACGCGUCCAAGAUGUCCAACAUCAUGCGGGGAGCUCCAGUUUAGAGCAGGAUGAUCCACAGCCCUCACACUCGAACGAAGAAGUCGAACAUCCACAGACGAUCCUCAUUAAGGAAGAAGAAGAGGACAUUGAUGUCAGCAAAUUUCCACUGACUAAUGUUUUUGAGGAGAGUGAAGACCACAAAGGCAAACCACCCGAGUGGUCACAGGUUCAUUACAGUCCAGGACCUUCACCACACAACUUCCUCGCUCCUCUGUCGGACAGUGAUGACAUGGAUGAUCCUUUGAGGAGCUCUGCAGACUGUGACAGCGCCAAUAAACUAUUGACAUACUUUCAAAAGGAAUCAACUCAUGGCAACAAGGAAACUUCACAAACCCGUAAGAAAAUAUUUAUCUGCUCGGUUUGUGGUAAAGGUUUGGCUAACAAUUCAUUAUUAAUUAUACACAUGAGAAAACACACUGGAGAAAAACCCUUUCUUUGCUCAAUUUGUGGUAAAGGAUUUGUUCAAAAGUCGCAUCUUGCAUCACACAUGAUAACACACACAGGAGAAAAACCUUUUAGUUGUUCAAUUUGUGGUACGAAGUUUAGUUAUAAGUGCAAUUUGAAUACACACGUGCGCAAGCACAAAACGGCAGAUGUUUUAAAGUCGUCCUGAAGCUAAAUAUUACGCUGUGCAGUACACUACAUCGUCAUUGCCUUCACUCAAUUUUAGUAUCUUAAGUGGUAAUAAUGAUUCAGUCAAGUGUGUGUUUGUGUGUGUGUGUGAGUGAAAGUGUGUCCUUCACGGAUAAAGAAUACAAAAACUCUGUAAAACGUUUAUUUACCAGCAUAACUAAUAUUACGGUGUAUGUUCACUUAAUUGUCUAUAAAGACGAUUUAUAUUCUGCCUCCAAUGCAGUGUCUUUUUGCUUUGACUUGAUCCGUCAUUACCACUGCAAGAUGGCGGCCAUUUGACGUCAUGGCUGCGUUGCUACCGGAAUAGUACCACCGAAGAAGAAAUAGGCGGAAGUUAGCGAAAGAGUGAAAAUUCUCUCGGGCGGCUAACCAAGCUGGUGUAACGGAUAAAAAGAAUAUUCAAAAAUGUUGAAAGAGUUGGUGAGGGGUCGAUUAAUUGCGGCUGCCGAAGAGAUCUAUGUCCUAUUUGUGUCGUACGAGGAACAGCUUUGUCGAGUGAGAGAAGAGAACGAACGACAACUGGAGGCUGCACAUCCAAGGCGGUCCGCCGCUCAUUGGUCAAGUACAAUAACAUGAAUACGUUCCACUGUCUGGGAUUUUCAGUAUGGCGUCAGCGGCCAUUUUAUAUCAAAGAUGAAGUGGAGCGACCGCAGCCCCGCCACGUGAAGGAUGAAGAAGAGGAGGCCAACAGCAGCCAUUUGUCUCUCACAGUCAUCUCCGUUAAGAGUGAAGACGACAACAAACCGCUCGAGUACAAUCACAGCUAAGCCAAUGACUCUUUGACGACCCAAUUGGAUCACGAAGGUGACGGCGCACACACACCAGCGCCAGCCUUUUCUCUCGCUCCGUUUGCAGUCAAAUCUUCCCGUGUCAGAGCAGCUUGGAGGUCCAUGCAGCAACCCAUGCCAGGGGAAACCCUUUCGCUGCUCUUGUGGCAAAAAGUUCUCCAAAAAGUUCAACUUGGUGUCACAUCUGAGGAUCCACACAGGGAAGAAACCCUUCAGUUGCUCGGCGUGCGAAAAAGGCUUCGCCCAGAAGAUCUCGCUGGAGGUGCAUGAGAGGACGCACACAGAGGAGAAGC